CCCGGCGGCCGUAGCGCGGUGGUCCCACCUGACCCCAUGCCGAACUCAGAAGUGAAACGCCGUAGCGCCGAUGGUAGUGUGGGGUCUCCCCAUGCGAGAGUAGGGAACUGCCGUGG
rnacentral:rRNA from 1 species